UCAAUAGUAAUCACUCCCAUUUCAAUCAACUGUCUGUUACUUCAGAUAAAAAACAAACUCUCAUCAUGAAAUUCCUUUCUAUCUUCGUAGUCCUUGCUGUUGUCCUCGCUGCCGCCAGUGGCCAACGUUGCCGAGGGCGUCGCGUCUGGUGUACCAACAGCAGACAAUGCUGUUCAGGACUCUGCCGAAGGGGCCGUGGAUGCGCAUAAAGAGAUGACGCAUUAAGGACCUCCAAAUCGCAAAAAAAACCCCAACGACAACAUUUAUCAAGACUUGUUUGGUGUUGACUCUAUUAUUAUCACCGACAAGUAUUCUCUAUUGACAUGUAAUUAAUGGAUUCACGAAAAUACAAAUAUUCAUGCAUA